GUAACAGAGAGUUCGAUCCUGGCUCAGAUUGAACGCUGGCGGGAUGCUUUGGCUACAUGCAAGUCGAACGGCAGCACGGAUUGGUCUGCAGUGGCGAACGGGUGAGUAAUGUAUCGGAACGUGCCUAGUAGCGGGGGAUAACUACGCGAAAGCGUAGCUAAUACCGCAUACGCCCUUCGGGGGAAAGCGGGGACCUUCGGGCCUCGCACUAUUAGAGCGGCCGAUAUCGGAUUAGCUAGUUGGUGGGGUAACGGCUCACCAAGGCGACGAUCCGUAGCUGGUUUGAGAGGACGACCAGCCACACUGGGACUGAGACACGGCCCAGACUCCUACGGGAGGCAGCAGUGGGAAUUUUGGACAAUGGGGAAACCCCGAUCCAGCCAUCCCGCGUGUGCGAUGAAGGCCUUCGGGUUGUAAAGCACUUUUGGCAGGAAAGAAACGGCACGGAUAAUACCCCGUGCAACUGACGGUACCUGCAGAAUAAGCACCGGCUAACUACGUGCCAGCAGCCGCGGUAAUACGUAGGGUGCAAGCGUUAAUCGGAAUUACUGGGCGUAAAGCGUGCGCAGGCGGUUCGGAAAGAAAGAUGUGACAUCCCAGAGCUUAACUUUGGAACUGCAUUUUUAACUACCGAGCUAGAGUGUCAGAGGGAGGUGGAAUUCCGCGUGUAGCAGUGAAAUGCGUAGAUAUGCGGAGGAACACCGAUGGCGAAGGUAAGCAGCCUCCGAUACCACUGACGCCCACGUAAUAAAGGGGAUGCCAGAUUGAUUUGGGUAGUUCAUGCCUCAAACGAUGCCACUUUUAUUGUUAGCCUUCGGGUCUUGGUGGGUUAACGCGCGAAGUUGACCGUCUGAAAGUGCUGGUCGCAAGAUUAAAACCAGAAGCAGAAUGACGGAUCGCACAAGUGUAGUAGAUGAUGGAUCCGAUGUAACGAAAACUCUUACUCAGCCCGACAGAGGUUCAAUCCGAAGAGAUUUGGGAGUACUCGCAAGAGAACCGGAACACAGGUGCUGCAUGGCUGUCGUCAGCUCGUGUCGUGAGAUGUUGGGUUAAGUCCGGCAACGAGCGCAACCCUUGUCAUUAGUUGCUACGAAAGGGCACUUAAUGAGACUGCCGGUGACAAACCGGAGGAAGGUGGGGAUGACGUCAAGUCCUCAUGGCCCUUAUGGGUAGGGCUUCACACGUCAUACAAUGGUCGGGACAGAGGGUCGCCAACCCGCGAGGGGGAGCCAAUCCCAGAACCCGAUCGUAGUCCGAUCGCAGUCUACAACUCGACUGCGGUGAAGUCGGAAUCGCUAGUAAUCGCGGAUCAGCAUGUCGCGCGGUGAAUACGUUCCCGGGUCUUGUACACACCGCCCGUCACACCAUGGGAGUGGGUUUUACCAGAAGUAGUUAGCCUAACCGUAAGGAGGGCGAUUACCACGGUAGGAUUCAUGACUGGGGUGAAGUCGUAACAAGGUAG
rnacentral:rRNA from 1 species